rnacentral:rRNA from 1 species
ACGCUCGACACCUACGGAGGCAGCAGUGGGGAAUUAUUGCACAAUGGGGGAAACCCUGAUGCAGCGACGCCGCGUGAGUGAAGAAGUAUUUCGGUAUGUAAAGCUCUAUCAGCAGGGAAGAAAAUGACGGUACCUGAGUAAGAAGCCCCGGCUAACUACGUGUCAGCAGCCGCGGUAAUCUGAGCGGGCUGGCAAGGC